ensembl:lncRNA
AUUCUAGUAGGGAAGGGAGCCGUGGUGGUUAGGACAUCUGCUCCCUUCUCAGAGCCAGAGGAAGGAGUCCUGUGAUGCCUGAAACCUGGAUUUGGGGACCUUCUGGGGCAGCAAGCAGGUGAGCAUCCAGACCACCCAUGGUCUGUUGUCUAGAGCUAACAGGACAGGAACAGGCAAGCGUGAAGGACUCUCUCCGGCUCCCUCUCCAGGGUCAAUUCUCAGGUCCAGGCUAGCCCUUUCUCUCCUCUAGAGGAGGUUCUGAAGGCUGGAAUUUCCCCAAGAAAGAAAAAGGCAGAGGAAUUAAGUUCUCUCUAGACGGAACGGAGCCAUCUGGGGAGGCAGAGUGAAUCUGCAGAUGACCUGGGGGAAGUGGUCAGCUUGUCACCCCGGGGUGCCUGUCCCACUCUGCCUCCACUGUGGGAACCCUGUGCAGCUGCCAUUCGGAUUGCAUAGAUGGCAACAGCGGGCUGUGACCGACAAUUGCCGCCACCUGGGGUGUGCCCACAGCCUUGUUCCCAGAGCCACGGUUUCCAGUCCUUCUCUGCAUGAGGGCCCAACCCGAGGAGGCUGGGGUCUACAUAUUGUCAUUUAGGGGAGAGCCAGACUCUGGCAUGGGAGGAGAAGGCCUAGACUUCUCGGUUGUGACGAAAUGAACCUUGAGGCCUGGUUUUCUAGAAUAAUUUCUCAGUCAAGAGAGAGAAUGCAUCCUGAAGGAAGAUGCAUUACAGUUCCAACUCAUUACAGUUGGAAACUCCAAGUGUCCUCUACCAGCUGACAUCUCAGCCCUCCAUGCUCCAAAAUUCUUAUAACACUUGCCCCACACGCCCAGAUUCGGGCCUGGGCCUUGCUCCGACACCCCUGUAUGCCUACACCAUGCCUCCUGGGGAGAAACUUGCCCUUUCUACCGCUUUCACUUAUAAUGAUGAGGUAUAAAUGGCUCCACCUGGAUCUGCUACUAUUAAUAGCAACCUCUGCCACUCCCAGUCAAACAACCCCAGGCGCUGUCAAUGAAAGCCCCAGGCUUCACGAGAGUCACAGAAGAGUGAGGAACUCUGGGCUGCUUUUCAGGGUGGUGGUGGUGGUGGUGAUUUAGGACAGAACAAGGGGCUGCCACCUGGGCCUAAUUAGACUUCCUCUUGCAGGAUAAGCCCCACACAGCAGAGUAUUCCCAGCACAAUUGUGCCUCUCAGCUCCCCUUACUGCUGCUGCUGCUAAGUCGCUUCAGUCGUGUCCAACUCUGUGUGACCCCAUAGAUGGAAGCCCACCAGGCUCCCCUGUCCCUGGGACUCUCCAGGCAAGAACACUGGAGUGGGUUGCCAUCUCCUUCUCCAAUGCAUGAAAGUGAAAAGUGAAAGUGAAGUCGCUCAGUCAUGUCCGACUCUUAGCGACCCCAUGGACUGUAGCCUUCCAGGCUCCUCCAUCCAUGGGAUUUUCCAGGCAAGAGUACUGGAGUGGGGUGCCAUUGCCUUCUCCGCAGCUGCCCUUACACUCCCUCAAAGCAGCCUGCACCCCACUUCCUCUUGCGCUUCCCAGAGCCCAACUUGUGUUGCAAUCUUACCCUUCUUAGAGCUGACAAGCACUUCCCACUCCCAGCUGUACAGAUGUCAGACCAGCAAUCUACGCCCUUGUCGAGGUGGCCCCACACAGCUUCUCAUGGCAUCUCCGCUGCAGGGUCUCUGGACCUCAGGACCCUUCAGCCAGCUCUGCUCUCAGUUUCUGCACUACUCGGACAUUGUUCUCCCUCUGCCACUGAGGAUUUGUCUGUAUAACAGCCGAGUUUCCAGAAGUUCAUUCACUCAGGUGGUGAGGUGAAGCCUAGAGUUUUGAUGACUUGCUCAAAAAUCCUAGGAACCCCUGUGCUGCAGAAGCUCUUCUCCUCUGACCGUAACAAACCCUCAGGCCCUGCUUAAGUCUCAGCUCUUCCAUGUGGCCCCACAGGCCCUCGGCUUCCAUCUACCCCAUUAGCGACACUGCCAGGCAUCUUUCUGCAUCAAGUCAGAGCUCCAGGCUCCUGGCUGUGGCCGAAGCAGGGAAGCACAAAUGAGAAAGGCAUGAACUGAGAGUCCCAGUGGGGAAAUGACCGUGAAGCAGCUUCCUGGGGAUAGAGCCUGUUGGGCCUGUUCCUCUUCUCUGCUGUUGGUAGAAAAGCACUUCUGACCCACUGUUACCUCUGCUGAGGAUGUGGCCAAGAUAUUAACCUCAGCUCAUGCCCAGGGAGUGAAGGAUUGUGUAAGCACCUAAGUCCCUGAAUUAAGCCCCUUGGCAUCUACGUGGAAUACCCCGAAGAGAUUCUGCCAUUAGAAGAGUUUUCUGAACCUUGACUGGGUGCAUGGCCUGAGGACUUUGCUACUGUGAGGUUGACCCCUGCUGGGCAGCAGUGAUGGCAGAAGCCUCAAACGGGACAGCUUCAUUUUGGGAAAUGACACUAAAAGGCGAGAAUGGAGGAGCAAUGAUUUGGAAGGAACCUAAGUCCUUGAGUGAUCAUGAGGAGCAGAGAUGCCCUGCUUACCUCCACCUUUCACAGAGGCAAGAGAAAGAAACUUUCUUGUUCAUUUGGCUGUUACAUGAUUGGGUGACGGAAAGGUGUCAGCCUCUCAGCUCAAACUAGUUUGUGAUUGCUCUUCUUCAGAACAGAUGACUC